rnacentral:rRNA from 1 species
UACGGAGGGUGCAAGCGUUAAUCGGAAUUACUGGGCGUAAAGCGUGCGUAGGUGGUUUGUUAAGUCCGUUGUGAAAGCCCCGAGCUCAACUUGGGAAUUGCAGUGGAUACUGGCAAGCUGGAGUGCGGUAGAGGAAGGUGGAAUUCCCGGUGUAGCGGUGAAAUGCGUAGAGAUCGGGAGGAACACCAGUGGCGAAGGCGAGUCCCUGGACACUUCCUGACACUGAGGCACGAAAGCUAGGGGAGCAAACAGG